CUACGGAGGGUGCAAGCGUUACUCGGAAUCACUGGGCGUAAAGCGUACGUAGGCGGUUCGUUAAGUUAGAUGUGAAAGCCCCGGGCUUAACCUGGGAACUGCAUUUAAAACUGGCGAACUAGAGUUGAGUAGAGGGGAGUGGAAUUUCAGGUGUAGCGGUGAAACGCGUAGAGAUCUGAAGGAACACCAGUGGCGAAGGCGACUCCCUGGACUCAAACUGACGCUGAGGUACGAAAGCGUGGGUAGCAAACGGGAUUAGAAACCCUAGUAGUCC
rnacentral:rRNA from 1 species